rnacentral:rRNA from 1 species
UGGUCAAUAGCCUAACGGCUGAACCAGCAACUUGGAGGAAUGUAUAGCAAUAGCUAAUUGCACCAACAAAUAGUUGAUGUAAUAUCGACUAUGUCGAAUAAAAUUCUAGGUAGAAUUAUGAUAAUGACAUUGUCUGCCUAUGUGUCUUGACCAAAUUACGUGCCAGCAGUCGCGGUAAUACGUAGAAGACUAGUGUUAUUCAUCUUUAAUAGGUUUAAAGGGUACCUAGACGGUAAAUCAAGCCUGAGUGGGGACUAAUUUUCUAGAGUUACUUGUGAGGGGGUAUUAAAGUACUGAUGGUGUAGAGAUGAAAUUCUGUCAUACCUUUUCUAUUGCUAGAACUAAUGGCACAGGUAUAGGCGAAAGCAUCCCCUUAUGUGAUAACUGACGUUGAAGGACGAAGGCUUUGUGUCGCGAACAGGAUUAGAUACCCCAGUAGUCAAAGCAGAAAAUGAUGAAUGUCAUAGAUUAGACAUAUAGUUUAUUCUAUAAAUGAAAGUGUAAGCAUUCCACCUCAAGAGUAAUUUGGCAACAUUGGAACUGAAAUCAUUAGACCGUUUCUGAAACCAGUAGUGAAGUAUGUUGUUUAAUUUGAUGUUUCUCAAAAAACCUUAYCWCAAUYUGAAUAUUKAUAUCUAUAUUUUUUCUUUGAUCUUAUUUCUUUUCUGUUGCUAACCAAGUUAUGSAUCCAUUUUUUUUCUUCUKUGCUUUGCAAAAAAAAGAUSAAUAUAUCAGAAAGGAAAUAUAAGUAAUAAGAMGAAAAAAGACAUAUUUWCAAGCGUUGCACGGCUGUCUUCAGUYAAYGUCGUGAGAUKUUGGUUAGUUCCAUUAAAYURACGUAAMCCC